rnacentral:rRNA from 1 species
UGGGGAAUAUUGCACAAUGGGCGCAAGCCUGAUGCAGCCAUGCCGCGUGUGUGAAGAAGGCCUUCGGGUUGUAAAGCACUUUCAGCGAGGAGGAAGGUGGUGGACUUAAUACGUUCAUCAAUUGACGUUACUCGCAGAAGAAGCACCGGCUAACUCCGUGCCAGCAGCCGCGGUAAUACGGAGGGUGCAAGCGUUAAUCGGAAUUACUGGGCGUAAAGCGCACGCAGGCGGUUUGUUAAGUCAGAUGUGAAAUCCCCGGGCUCAACCUGGGAACUGCAUUUGAAACUGGCAAGCUAGAGUCUCGUAGAGGGGGGUAGAAUUCCAGGUGUAGCGGUGAAAUGCGUAGAGAUCUGGAGGAAUACCGGUGGCGAAGGCGGCCCCCUGGANGAAGACUGACGCUCAGGUGCGAAAGCGUGGGGAGCAAACAGAUUAGAUACCCUGGUAGUCACGCUGUAAACGAUGUCGAUUUUGGAGGUUGUGCCCCUGAGGCGUGGNUUCCGGAGCUAACGNGUUAAAUCGACCGCC